AUUGAACGCUGGCGGCAGGCUUAACACAUGCAAGUCGAACGAGUGGCGGACGGGUGAGUAAUGCUUGGGAAUCUGGCUUAUGGAGGGGGAUAACUACGGGAAACUGUAGCUAAUACCGCCUACCAUAAGAUGAGCCCAAGUGGGAUUAGCUAGUUGGUGAGGUAAAGGCUCACCAAGCCAACGAUCCCUAGCUGGUCUGAGAGGAUGACCAGGCACACUGGGAAUGAGAAACGGCCCAGACUCCUACGGGAGGCAGCAAUGGGGAAUAUUGCGCAAUGGGGGCAACCUGACGGCGCCAUGCCGCGGGGAUUAAGGAGGCCUUCGGGUUGGAAAGUUCUUUCGGUAGCGAGGCGUUAACUAAAGAAAAAGCACCGGCUAACUCCGUGCCAGCAGGCGCGGUAAUUC
rnacentral:rRNA from 1 species